rnacentral:rRNA from 1 species
GUGCAUGGUUGUCGUCAGCUCGUGUCGUGAGAUGUUGGGUUAAGUCCCGCGACGAGCGCAACCCUUAUGUUUAGUUGCUACGCAAGAGCACUCUAAACAGACUGCCGUUGACAAAACGGAGGAAGGUGGGGAUGACGUCAAAUCAGCACGGCCCUUACGUCCGGGGCUACACACGUGUUACAAUGGGUGGUACAGAGAGUCAGGCGUUGGCAACACCGCCUUAAUCCAUAAAGCCAUCCUCAGUUCGGAUUGGGGUCUGCAACCCGACCCCAUGAAGCUGGAUUCGCUAGUAAUCGCGCAUCAGCCAUGGCGCGGUGAAUACGUUCCCGGGUCUUGUACACACCG